AUUAUGUUUAUUUCAAUGAUGGAUGGAUACCCCUUCCCAUUUCCAAGUUACCCUUCCUUUCCUACCCCUAAUACAAUGUUUGUAUUAUUAUCACUUGUUAUACAAAAUUUUAAAACUUUAAUAAAAAUUAUUUGAAAAGAAUGAGAACAGUUUGUUCGGAUCGGAAUUUAAUUUGAAUGAUUAAAACUCCGAUCCUAUUUGUGCCGCAGCUGCAUCUUGCAGCCGCUAAGUAGAUAACUCCCUAAUUAAGGAAGCUAUCUACCAAAAGGCUGAAAGACCUAAAUUGGGCUUUUAGCCAAAUGUACUAAUACUAAGUAAAAACCACGAGUAGGGGCAUGUCUAUUUAACAGUGGCUGCUCGGUGUUAAAAAAAACCCAAAAACCUAGUAUCUCCCCUCCUGAGCCCCUACCCGUGCCGCGCGAGUGGGGGCUAUUAAACUGAAGGGGGGACCUAGCGCCCCCCGUCCCCCACCCCUGAGCAACGGGUGGGGCCCCUAAAUAACAAUAAGGGGGGAACCUAUUGUCCUCCCCCCCAGCCCCCACCCCUGAGCAGCGGGUGGAGGACCUAAAUAACAAUAAGGGGGGGAACCUAGU